AAAGUACCCGGAUGCAGAAGCGGCCAUAUUCGCUUGUGUUGUUUGAUAAAGCAUGAAACAGGAAGAAGGUUGCCUUUUAGAAAAGUUGUGAUAUUCACUGGAAAUGGAUCGCCAACAGGGUAGGAAACCUAUGAGGAGGAUGAGGGAUAGUCCUGAAAUGCAGAGAAUGACAGAUCGAGAUAGAAUGAGCCCUGGGAGUGACAGGUAUGAUGGUGGUAGGGGAGGUGCAAAAAUGGGAGGGCGAAUGAGGAGCAUGGAUAGAGACGAAGGCUCCAGGCGUGGGACAGGCGAUAGGCGUACUGGCCGCGACGACUAUGAUCGCCCGCAAAACUAUGAUCGUCCUCAAAACUUCCAAAAUGAUGGUUUUCAGAGGAAAGAACCUGAUUGUUUAAGAAUCACGAAUUUUCCAUCUCAUGUUUCUGAUACUGCAAUUAGAGAUGCUCUUUUCCAUGAAUUCAAGAAAUAUGGUGAAGUGAAUGUGCGUGUUGUGUUCAGUCAAGCCAAAAAUGAGCGGAUUGCUUAUGUGAGGUUUAGACUUCCAGAUCAAGCUAGAGAUGCAAUGCAAGCUCGUGGAGACCGUCUUACAUUGUUUGCAAGACCUUUACAUAUUGUAGCUAUUGUGAAUAAAACAAAUCAUAAUCAAGGGCAAGGUCAUGAUGGUGGUUUCAUGAAUAGUAACAGACAAAAUGAUUUUCAGGGAAGACGUGGUGGAAUGCAAGGAAAGAGUUAUAAUAAUAGGCAGGAUAUGGGUAGUAGUGGUGGUGGCAGAGGAAGAGAUAGAGAUUUCAGUCGUUAUGAGUCAAAUUCUCGUAACUAUGGAAAUGAUGGGUAUCAGCAAAAUCAAGGUCGUGAUAGAGACCGUGAUGCUACAUUUUUGCCAGAGGAUGACCCAAAGGCUACACGCACAGUGUUUUGUGGUAACUUGGAAGAUGGAAUCCAAGAAACUGAAAUAAGAAGGCAUUUUGAGAGGUAUGGUUUUGUUGAAGAAAUAGACAUCAAGUACCCACCUCGAGGUCAGGGAAAUCCUUUUGCCUUUGUGAAGUUUGAAAAUUUGGAUAUGGCUUACAAGGCAAUAAUAUCUAUGUCUGGUCAGUAUAUUGGGAGGAAUCAGUGUAAGACAGGAUAUGGCAAGCAAUCUCCAACAAAUUGUCUUUGGGUAGGAGGCUUGGGUCCAUGGAUCACAUUGGGUGUGCUGGAAAGGGAGUUUGAUCGCUUUGGAGCAAUCCGCAAGAUUGAUUAUAUCAAAGGGGAUUCCUUUGCUUACAUUCAGUAUGAAACCGUAGAAGCAGCUCAGGCAGCUGCCAGCCACAUGCGAGGUGUUCCAUUGGGAGGACCAGACAAACGACUUAGAGUGGAUUUUGCUGAACAUGGACCUGGCUUACAGACAACAAAAAAGCAGUUCAAGCCAUACCAAGGACCAUCUAACAAUGAUGAUGGCCCAGGUGGCAGAGGUUUUAACCGCUUUAACCAAGACAGAGAUAUUGGUCGUGAUAUUUCGCCUCCACCCUUUCGUGAUGGACCAGAUCAGUGGCAAGGAGGUGACCGUGGAGGAGGUUAUGAUGGAAGUCGUGGUAACUGGCAAUCUGGAAAUAGAUACAAAAAUGAUAACUGGAAUCGCAGGGAUAGUGACCAACCUGGAAGAAUGAUGCAAAAAGGUGAUAACCGUAGGAGGCGAAAUGGAUCACCUGAUGAUAUACCUGGUAAGGAAGACUGGUCCCCAAGCAAUGUGAAGGCAUCAAAGCGCCGAAGAUCUCCUGGUGGUGAUUGGUCUCCUGAGCGAAGGAAACCUAGAGAUGCUUCAAAUGCACGUGAUUGGGAUGCUUCACCAGAUGGUCGUGUGCGCCAUCAACGAUCCAUCAGUAGUGACUUGUCUGACCAGGAUUUUGGUAGCCAGCCUAUGGAACGGCGUCGAAAGCGUGGUAGUAGGCGCACCAGAAUCCCAGAUAGCUUGGAUAAUCUGUCCGAUCUUCUCAACUACGUGUCAAUGUCCUGGAGAGGUCAUUUGGUUUUGAAGAACAGUGCAUUUGCUACUCGCAUGUUCUUAGUGGGAGGAGAUGCAGACACUGCUGAAGCUCUGCUGCCGCACAACUUGGGAAGUGAUGAAUCUGCCCUGAGGAUCACACAACGAUUACGUUUGGACCAACCUAAGCUUGAUGAAGUUGCCAAAAGAAUCUCCCAGGCUGGAUCUAGUGGUCAUGCGAUUUUGCUUUCCAUGACUGGAACGAGCGAUGAUUCUGACACUCUGCCAUCUGGAACCCAACCACGAGCCUUGGUGAACUUGGUUACUUACCUUCAGCAGAAGAAAGCUGCAGGAGUUAUCAGCUUACCAGUGAGUGGAGAGCAAAACAAGGAUAAUGUUGGUGUCCUCCAUGCCUUCCCUCCAUGUGAAUUCAGUCACAAGUUCCUUCAUGAUAUUGCUCCAGGUCUAGGCCCUGAUCCUUCCAAGGAGGAUCAUCUUGUUGUCAUUAUUGUAAAGGGGGCAGCCUAAAUUCCUGGAUUCAAAGUGUUUUUUUUUUAUUAAUAUUUUUUAAAGAUAAUUUUUGUCCUGUUGUUAAAAGUGAUAGUUUUAGGGAUUAAUGCAGAUGAAAAAAACAAGUUAAUUAUUCAAUUUGGGAACUACAUUUUAUGUAGCUGGUUCUUUUUUGUAGUCCAUGCUCAUACAUGUAUGUUUUAGUGUCUUUUAGAGUAAACAAAUAAUGUAUUACAUGUAGUGGCUGAAAUGCUUUGUAAAAUUUGGCAUAGUUUCUGGUAUUAGUGAUGCUUAUUUUGGGUGAAAUUCUUUGAAUUUCUUGCAUUUUAUUUGUAAUAAACAACUUCACUUGAAUGUAUUUAUAAUUUUUACAUUGACAUGUAAAAUAACACUGUUACUGUAUGUUGAUGAGAUUGUCUGUUAGUACGUACAUGAAUAUUGAAUUUGGAGCAUUGUAAUACGAUCAUCCCAAAUGGGAUUUUAACAUAAUUAUAUGUAACAGUAACAUACUGUAAAAACUAAAAACAACUACCAGUAAGCUUUUGUAAUGAAUGUACAGUAUGUCGGGAUGAGCAUACUUCUUGAGAAAGGUUGGAAUGUUGCAUUGUUUGUCUCUAAGUAAGCUCAUUGUAACAUGUUUUACAUGUAAAAGUGGGUCUGCCCUGGCCAUGGAUUUGUGCUCUUCCAGUAUGUUGAAAAAGACAAUUCUACACCUCAAUGUGUAACAAGGCAAAUGUUUUAAAGCCUUCAUGACCGGAUCAAGUGGUUCACAAGAAUGAGAAUGGCCUUCAAGUUGCAACAACACGUGUUACUCUGCAAAUCUUGCCCUCCCUAAUGCACGCUCCUCAUUUACCAUCUCCUGUCAUCAAUCAAAGGCACUUAUAAAAAUCUGGAAUGAUUAAUUCCUGUGGGCUCAAUUGUAUAAGAAAUCCAUCACACUCCUUCACUGAACUCUUAAGCUCCUCAUCCAUUAUCCUCCUACUGAGAUAAAUGCUUCUAAUUGCUGAGGCAUUGUGUUGCCAUUACAACUAUCCCCAUCACUCCAGAUGAUCAACAAGCUGAAUUUGAAAGGAGAAACCGCAAAUGUGUGUCAACAAUCGUGUUUGCUACAUUAUUUACCAUGAGGAGUGCUUCAACUUACCAAAGCUGUGAUGUUUCUUGAAAAAAAAACUUUACAAGGAGGAUCCCUCAAAGGAAAUCAAGCUUUUUGUUCAUUUGUUUUGAAGAGGAACAUGAACCUUUUAGCGAUGAACUAAGUGAAAUGUGUUUAUUUUGAAUUUGUGCAUUUUAUUGUGUAAAGUGGUGCCAUUUUUAUUCUUGGAGGAUCAAAAGUGAACUUGUGUUUGUGCUCAAAGUGGAUCUCUGAGGACAUGAGGAUAAAUCAUCAUCAUCAGUGUUGCACAUGACCAUCGAUACUCUAUAACGUUCUAUUGCGGAGGAAUCAUCAACUACAAUCUACAAUCAUCGCGCUGUGACAUCAUGUAUUGUAGGAUCAGUAUCUUGAUCACUGGAUAUCAACAUUAAAAUAAUAAAUAUUGUUUAAUCAUAUAAUGCUUGUAAGAACAUACAUGUAGUGUCAUUGGUACAUGUAUGCAAACGUAACUGAGAAAGAGCAUGCCUCGCACACUACAUGUAGUCUGACAAAGUUUCUCUAAAAGAUAAAACUUGUAAAAAUGAUACAUGAAAAUCUUGAUGCGUAAUGCUUUCAUAUUUGAAUUUCCUAAUAUAUAUUCUUAAUGUUAGUCAAUUCAUAUCUAGUUCUAUUUUGUUUGUGAAUAAAGAGGCAAAAUGAGUGCAUACAAAGUACCAUACUGAUGACACUACAUGUAUGUACCUUCACUCCCUUUUAUACAUGUUUUGCUUUUUUGUAUAAUAUUCAGGCCUAAUAAUUGCAUAGGAGAAGAUUGCUUUACUUUACUGAAAAUUUGAAAUACUGGUACAACUAAAAAUGUUUUAGGAGUGUUCAUUCCUGAGAGGUAAAUUUAUUUUAAAUUUCUUUUUUGCUGAAGCUUUAAAAACAGGAUGUGGUGGGAAUCUCGAUCAGAAUGGCAGUUUUGAAGAUAUUUUUUAAAGAAAAACCGAUAGCAGCUAUGAAUGUUGUAUUUUGGUAUUAUAAGUGUGCCAUGAUUGUCAUUUUCUUUUGUACCCACAUAAAUGUACAUAUUGGGGCAAAACUAUGUCAUCAUACAUUUUUUUUCUUCUUCAAAAUACAAUGGUUGCAGAUCAGUGUAUCCAUGAGAAUGUAUAGUUUUGUAUAUUUUGUAAAGUGUAGAAUAAGUUGUUAUAACAAUGCUAUUAAUUUGGUGAUUUUUGGCGACAAUCUCAUAAUCAUAAUCAAAAAUUCAAAACAUUUGUUGAUGAAAUUGUUGAAAGCUUUUAUUGUGUUAAGUUUCCAAUCUGAUUUUGAAAUUAGAAUGUGGGAAAAUAGAUUUGUACAGUACAUGUAAUUUAAUUUAAUGGACAUGCCUAUAUUUAUGUAAAUUUCACAAAGAAACUUUUGCUUAAAAAAGAAGGCAGUUAUUGCUGUCCAACAAGAGUGUACAGGACCCAUUUUCUUCUAUGAUUUUGAUAGACUUUCUGAUAGAAAAAGAGAAACAUGUAAGAUUUUAUGAUUAUACACUUUAUGUACUUCAUACAGAUGAUUUGUCGUCACUUUCUUGUCGAUGCUUUGCAACCAGAAUUUAAGAAGAUCUUGUAGAAAUUUACAUUUCUGAUUUUCAUUGUAGAUAACUGAAUUUACCUUAAUUAAGCUGUACAUAAAUGUCAAUGAUGCAAGAUACAUGUAUACAUUGCUAUAGAAACAAAGUGUUAAAUAGUCAUGUUGGGAAGAACAAGGUGAAAAUCAUUAGGGCAAUUUUUUAAUUUCUAAAUAUGCAUAGAGUAAAUGACCAACUCUCUCAAAGACUACAGAUUAUUUCUAUUAUUUUGUUAACAGAAGAACUUAAAAAUCACAUCAUGUACAUUCAAGUGUAUACAUUUCUAUGUAUUUAUGUUUUAUUGCCACCAUUAUGAAGCCUGUAAACCUCUGAAAACGAUUUAAUGGCAUCAAUUUUUUAAAUAAUGUAAUAUGUAAUUUUGUCUACAAGGAUGCUCACCUUUGUCUGAUAAAUGUAAUAUUAAAUAUAGUAGUACAUGUGCACAACAAAA